GUAGGUGGCAAGCGUUGUCCGGAAUUAUUGGGCGUAAAGCGCGCGCAGGCGGUCCUUUAAGUCUGAUGUGAAAGCCCACGGCUCAACCGUGGAGGGUCAUUGGAAACUGGGGGACUUGAGUACAGAAGAGGAAAGCGGAAUUCCAAGUGUAGCGGUGAAAUGCGUAGAGAUUUGGAGGAACACCAGUGGCGAAGGCGGCCUUCUGGUCUGUAACUGACGCUGAGGCGCGAAAGCGUGGGGAGCAAACAGGAUUAGAUACCCUGGUAGUCCACGCCGUAAACGAUGAGUGCUAAGUGUUAGGGGGUUUCCCGCCCCCUUAGUGCUGCAGCUAACGCAUUAAGCACUCCGCCUGGGGGAGUACGGCCGCAAGGCUG
rnacentral:rRNA from 1 species